rnacentral:tRNA from 1 species
GGCGAGAUAGCCGAACGGUACAAGCCGCUGCUUUUAGGCACCAGUCCCUUCGAGGGCGUGGGUUCGAAUCCCACUCUCGUCA